CCUACGGGUGGCAGCAGUGGGGAAUAUUGGGCAAUGGGCGCAAGCCUGACCCAGCAAUGCCGCGUGAAGGAAGAAGGCUUUCGGGUUGUAAACUUCUUUGACAGGGGAAGAGCAGAAGACGGUACCCUGAAAACAAGCCACGGCUAACUACGUGCCAGCAGCCGCGGUAAUACGUAGGUGGCAAGCGUUGUCCGGAUUUACUGGGUGUAAAGGGCGUGUGGCCGGGAAGGCAAGUCAGAUGUGAAAUCUGGAGGCUCAACCUCCAAAUUGCAUUUGAAACUGUUUUUCUUGAGUACUGGAGAGGCAGACGGAAUUCCUUGUGUAGCGGUGAAAUGCGUAGAUAUAAGGAGGAACACCAGUGGCGAAGGCAGCUUACCAAUCUAUAUCUGACGUUGAGGCACGAAAGCGUGGGGAGCAAACAGGAUUAGAUACCCGGGUAGUC
rnacentral:rRNA from 1 species